AAAAAAAAAAAGAAAUGAAUCUAGCCAUUCCACAAAUAUUCAAGGGCUAGACACUGGGGAUUGAAAAGUAAAAAAGGUAAGGUAACUUUCUAGGUGAGAAGACGGUAAAUAAGGUGAUUCCAGAUAGUAACUAGGGUUGUGAAAUUGGUAAGAACUAGGUGGUGAAAUGGGUGCUAGAGGAAGUCUUCCUGAGAAAGGGCCAUUUGAGGUGCUUCCAUUGACGUGAUUCAGAAGUCCGCAGGGCAAUACAGGCUCAAAUAGGACUACAUCACCUUUACACUUCAGAUGGUGUCAACGAAAGAAAGACCUUUAAGAGGGUGCUGGACUGCAAUAACGAACAAGAGAGGUAUAGUACCUGCCCUUAAGAAACCAACAAGUCACAAACAAGUUAUUGCAGAUUUCGGGGGCUGCCAUCCGUCCUGCCGCCCCCGGCCCAGAGGUAGGGGCUUCUGAGCCGCCAUCCCACUGUUCCUGGUCCAGAGGAAGGGGCUUCCUGGCCACCAUCUCUCCUGCUGCUCCCAGCCCAGAGGAAGGGGCUUUGGGGCCACCAUCCAUCCUGCCGCUCCCAGCCCAG